UCUUAUGGAUAAGCAAAUAAAGUGUUUUUUAGAGAUGGAAUCUACUCCUGGUGAAAAUGCUGUGAA
rnacentral:pre_miRNA from 1 species